rnacentral:rRNA from 1 species
UACGAAGGGGACUAGCGUUGUUCGGAAUUACUGGGCGUAAAGCGCACGUAGGCGGAUUUAUAAGUCAGGGGUGAAAUCCCGGGGCUCAACCUCGGAACUGCCUUUGAUACUGUAGAUCUCGAGUCCGAUAGAGGUGGGUGGAAUUCCUAGUGUAGAGGUGAAAAUUCGCAGAUAUUAGGAAGAACACCAGUGGCGAAGGCGGCUCACUGGUCCGGUACUGAC